CCAGUUCAUGCAGCAAGAAGAUACCGUGCUUUCAACUCCUGAGGCUUUCGUUUUAGGCCUAAACGCUUGGAUAAAAAAACACAGAAUAGUGGAGUCAUGGUAACUGCAAAAACAUCUCGAUAUUCUACAACAGGGAAUGCAAAUCCAGUUUUACGUGAUGUGACGUACUAUGGGAGGAUAAUUGAUAUUAUCGAGAUGAACUAUUCUGGGCAAUUUUCAGUGGUGUUGUUUAAAUGUGAAUGGGUUGAUGUAUUUUCUGAAGAAGGAAUACAGAAAGACAAGUACGGUUACACACUUGUCAACUUCUCACGUCUGAUACACAAAGGAGAUAAAAUUGAGCACGAGCCUUUUAUUUUCCCUAACCAGGCAGAUCAAGUGUUCUAUGUGGAAGAUGAACAUAACCCAGGUUGGUCCGUCGUAAUGAAGCAGCCGAAGCCUAGAGAUGUGUAUGACAUUUCCAUUGAAAGGGCCGCUGACACAGAAAUGGAGCCAUUCCAUGUUUCACACCUUGGGGAGAUGUUUAAAAGAAAAAACAAUGACAAACAUUGGGUUAGAACAGACGUCGAGGGGACAUUAGUGGAUGCUAAUAUUGCUUCAAGCAAGGAAGAAGGUCAUAACCAUGAAGGUUGUGAUGAAGAAGCAGAAACCUAAUUCUAAGAAGAGGAAGCAAAAGCUUUUUCUCAAUCAAGGUGAAGAAGCAACCUCCAUGUUAAGAAACAAGGAUGUCAAGCUGACGCUGAUCUUGAAGAAAUAAGCAAAGUUGAAGCAAUCAUCAAAGCUCGUCAUUACAAUCUUGCCAAAUUUUCAACCCCAAGUUUGAUGUGUUGUUGUCUGUACUGAAUUAUUCAUAUUCCAGACACUAGAAUCACGUAUAGGUCACAUGUUGACUAAGUACAUUUAUACCCUUUUAUUUCAUCUGAUUUUUUGUUCAA